AGUGGUCUUGGUGUCUAUAGUGUUCUUUUAAGGCAGUGUCUGAAAAAGUCUUGUUCCUUACCAACCUGGGGAACAGAGUAGACAGGUGUGGCCCCACUGCCUUGAGGACAGUGUAGGCAGAGGGGCCAUACCUGCUUGAAGAAGACACUGGCAGAGGGGCCAUACCUGCUUGAAGAAGGCACUGGCAGAGGGGCCAAUGUCUGCCCAGCUCAGCAACUUUUCCUUUCUGGAGUGGCAAUCCCAACCCUCCUGCAGUACAGGGCAAGAUGUUCCAUCACAGUGGGACAAGUGGUUAUUUUAUUAGUUCUGAAAGAUAAAGGAACACUCUUCAGC